rnacentral:rRNA from 2 species
GAACGCAGCGAACUGCGAUAAGUAAUGCGAAUUGCAGAAUUCAGCGAGCCAUCGAAUCUUUGAACGCACAUUGCGCCCGCCAGCAUUCUGGCGGGCAUGCCUGUCCGAGCGUCAUUUCCUCCCUCACGCAGCGCGCCUGCGUGGUGUUGGGGCGUUCUGCGGCCAGGCCUGCGCCCA